rnacentral:tRNA from 1 species
GCGGGUGUGGCGAAAUGGUAUACGCGUCAGGUUUAGGACCUGAUGAGAGAAAUCUCGUGCGGGUUCAAAUCCCGCCAUCCGCA